UGUAACUUGUAGUAGAAAGAAUAGAGGCACCUGCAGCCACGACUGCCAGACCCCUUAAUGGGUAAUAUUCCCCCCUUCAACAGGAUGCAGUCAGAGGGCCCAUAAAAAUGAUGUCCAGACGGAAAUGUGGUCAUUGAGCCAUUUAGUGAAACAAGGCUGGAGUGCAUUUAGCGGGGAGAGCAUGCGUUUGUAAAGACCCCUGCAGCUGGUGGGGGUAACCUGACCUGCUGCCUGACAGGCACAGGGAUGCCCUCUAGUCUGAGCAAGCACGUAAACAAGUCAAUAGAGGACAAGCUGUCACCAUAGAUAUUUUACUCUGUUUUUGGCCUGUACAAUUCUUUAACAAUAAUAUCACAAAGAACAUUCAGAGGAUCUUAUGAUGAUCAGGUUUAUGGUUAUCCCACUGAUAAUUUAUUAAUGAACAUUUGAGAGCUUAGGCACUUAUGUAUAAAUAAAAUAAAUAAAAACCCUCUGUACUUUGUUUGUUGCCCAUCUGAGCGCGUGUCUUCCUGCUGGCCCAUCCUGAUCAUGAGACCUCUCCAGGCAAGAUCCUGUGACUAACUCCUGCCUGGCCCGGGAGUCUAACACCUCAGCUGCGAUGGCUAGCUUCACUCAGAUCAGCUUACGUGGCUGUGGAACCUCUCACUGCCAAGUAUGUGAUGUCUGACAGGCCUCUCAACCUGGUCUGACCUCAGCGUGGACUAAAUAAAGUAUUGUACAAACAGAGCCUGAUGGACCAAAACGACGGGUCGGGAGUAACGGCUGUCUCAGUCUGCACCGCCGUCAGGAUGAGGAAGUCCUGCAGGCUGCCAACCGCCGCGCUACUUUCCUGUACGUGUGAAGAUGAGACAGCAAGAGCGCAAGAAUAAACGAGGAGAGGAAACGAAAGAAAAAGUCAUGUGGCACAGGACUAUAGGGCCACGCAACACAAGAUAAAAGAUGUAAAUUCAUUCAAUGUAUCCAUGUCAGACUAAUAAACCACACACAGGGUCACAGCCUGGUACUGAAUACCACAACUGAAAACAAUAGCCCUUUAAAUAGGUACUCAAAACUGUCUGUGUACAAGACCUGACCUGGAGAAUUCUGAAUAAUUCUACAUUCAUGAACCCAUAGUAGAGUUACCAUCUGUAGGCUGACUGAGCAGCAGCCAACACUGACACAGUCAGUCCUUGUCCCAGACACCCUUUUGAAAGGCGAGGGUGGAUCAUUUGUGGAGCGAUCUGCAUUUUAUGUUCUACCAUUCUGGUCUAAUUUGGAUCCCACAACGUGCGGCAUGCCAAGGUCGUAGAACAUGUGGGUAGAGAGAGUAUAGCUCUCUGGGCCAUGAUGAAACAAGCUUCAGUUUGUGGCAAGUUAUAAACUAAGGAACUUGGUCUGACCACACCCCAGCACCGCCACAAAAAGCUGCACAGUAUGGAUUUGACCUCAGCAGUACUGCAUUACAUAAAUACUGUUCUAUGCAAAACACAAACCUUCAGCGGAAGACUGUAGGCAGUAUUUUGCUUUCUUGGCCAGAUGGACUCACCAGUGGAGCUUUUCAUUUUUGAGUAAGUUGACGUAUUAUAAGAACAAGAAGAAGAAUAACACCAGCCAAUGUGCCCCAAAAUAGAACCUGUACUUGGAGAAAAAGCAAAGAAACCACUUCAAGCAUUUUAUGUCCUCCUCCCUUAUUCACAAGCUCAACAAAAAGAAAUGGAUGAUUACCAGGAUACAUAAAUAAAUUUAUAUCUGCACAACAAGACCCCAUCCUGCCCAGACCGUCUGCACUAAGUGUGAACACUUCGAGGUAGGAAAAAGGAAACAGCAGUCCAAACAUUAAUAAAUAAUGAUGGAACAUAA